rnacentral:rRNA from 1 species
UACGUAGGGGCUAGCGUUAUCCGGAAUUACUGGGCGUAAAGGGUGCGUAGGUGGUUUCUUAAGUCAAAGGUGAAAGGCUACGGCUCAACCGUAGUAAGCCUUUGAAACUGGGAAACUUGAGUGCAGGAGAGGAGAGUGGAAUUCCUAGUGUAGCGGUGAAAUGCGUAGAUAUUAGGAGGAACACCAGUUGCGAAGGCGGCUCUCUGGACUGUAACUGACACUGAGGCACGAAAGCGUGGGGAGCAAACAGGAUUAGAUACCCCCGUAGUCCCUGAGCGGGCUGG